rnacentral:rRNA from 1 species
UUGGGCGUAAGCGAGCGCAGGCGGUUUUUUAAGUCUGAUGUGAAAGCCUUCGGCUCAACCGAAGAAGUGCAUCGGAAACUGGGAAACUUGAGUGCAGAAGAGGACAGUGGAACUCCAUGUGUAGCGGUGAAAUGCGUAGAUAUAUGGAAGAACACCAGUGGCGAAGGCGGCUUUCUGGUCUGUAACUGACGCUGAGAUUCGAAAGCAUGGGUAGCAAACAGGAUUAGAUACCCUGGUAGUCCAUGCCGUAAACGAUGAGUGCUAAGUGUUGGAGGGUUUCCGCCCUUCAGUGCUGCAGCUAACGCAUUAAGCACUCCGCCUGGGGAGUACGAUCGCAAGAUUGAAACUCGAAGGAAUUGACGGGGGCCCGCACAAGCGGUGGAGCAUGUGGUUUAAUUCGAAGCAACGCGAAGAACCUUACCAGGUCUUGACAUACCAUGAAAAGCUAAGAGAUUAGUCUUUCCCUUCGGGGACAUGGAUACAGGUGGUGCAUGGUUGUCGUCAGCUCGUGUCGUGAGAUGUUGGGUUAAGUCCCGCAACGAGCGCAACCCUUAUUAUCAGUUGCCAGCAUUCAGUUGGGCACUCUGGUGAGACUGCCGGUGAUAAACCGGAGGAAGGUGGGGACGACGUCAAAUCAUCAUGCCCCUUAUGACCUGGGCUAC